rnacentral:rRNA from 1 species
ACAAUGUAGAGUUUGAUCCUGGCUCAGGAUGAACGCUAGCUACAGGCUUAACACAUGCAAGUCGAGGGGCAGCAUGUUGGUUGCUUGCAACCAAUGAUGGCGACCGGCGCACGGGUGAGUAACGCGUAUCCAACCUACCCAAUACUCAGGCAUAACCCGUUGAAAGACGGACUAAUUCCUGAUGGUAUGUAUCUUUCUCAUGAUUUAUACAUUAAAGAAUUUCGGUAUUGGAUGGGGAUGCGUCUGAUUAGUUUGUUGGUGAGGUAACGGCUCACCAAGACUUCGAUCAGUAGGGGUUCUGAGAGGAAGGUCCCCCACAUUGGAACUGAGACACGGUCCAAACUCCUACGGGAGGCAGCAGUGAGGAAUAUUGGUCAAUGGAUGGAAAUCUGAACCAGCCAAGUAGCGUGCAGGAUGACGGCCCUAUGGGUUGUAAACUGCUUUUAUGUGAGAAUAAAGUUAGGUAUGUAUACUUAUUUGCAUGUAUCACAUGAAUAAGGACCGGCUAAUUC